rnacentral:rRNA from 1 species
AGAGUUUGAUCCUGGCUCAGGAUGAACGCUAGCUACAGGGCUUAACACAUGCAAGUCGAGGGGCAGCAUUUCAGUUUGCUUGCAAACUAAAGAUGGCGACCGGCGCACGGGUGAGUAACACGUAUCCAACCUGCCGAUAACUCGGGGAUAGCCUUUCGAAAGAAAGAUUAAUAUCCGAUGGUAUAUUUUCUCCGCAUGGUGAGAAUAUUAAAGAAUUUCGGUUAUCGAUGGGGAUGCGUUCCAUUAGUUUGUUGGCGGGGUAACGGCCCACCAAGACUACGAUGGAUAGGGGUUCUGAGAGGAAGGUCCCCCACAUUGGAACUGAGACACGGUCCAAACUCCUACGGGAGGCAGCAGUGAGGAAUAUUGGUCAAUGGACGAGAGUCUGAACCAGCCAAGUAGCGUGAAGGAUGACUGCCCUAUGGGUUGUAAACUUCUUUUAUAUGGGAAUAAAGUAUUCCACGUGUGGGAUUUUGUAUGUACCAUAUGAAUAAGGAUCGGCUAACUCCGUGCCAGCAGCCGCGGUAAUACGGAGGAUCCGAGCGUUAUCCGGAUUUAUUGGGUUUAAAGGGAGCGUAGGUGGAUUGUUAAGUCAGUUGUGAAAGUUUGCGGCUCAACCGUAAAAUUGCAGUUGAUACUGGA